AGUGAGGCUAGGGAUCAAACCCGCCACGUCAUAGUUCCUAGUCGAAUUUGUUUCCACUGUACCACGUUGGGAACUCCUGCAGUCAGGUUCUUAACUCACUGUGCCAUAGCAGGAACUCUAAUAGAGGCAGUUUAACUAUGUUGCCUCUACUUUUCUUUCUACAGGGAAACACAGGACAGAACUGAGGAUGCAUCAACCCUCAACAGCACAGGGUGAGCAACUCUGCUCUCCUCACCCAAUUGAGGAUUGAUGUUUGGCACCUGCUCUGGAGAAAGUGACCUGUGAAUGAGAGAAUGGAAGGAGCCCAAGUCUGGAGAUGAUGAUAAUAAUCCAGUGGCAAGAUGAUGAAGACUUGGCCUAUGACAGUAGCAAUGGAGAUGAACAGGAUGUACCUGAUUUGGACAGAGAGAACACUGAAAAUGUUUAGUAAUCCCAAGGAUGCAGUCUGUCUCCAACAUUCCACACUAUGUCCAGAUACUACAAGAAAAAUACGAAAAGAGCUUAAUCCAACGCCUUUAUCCCGAAGGAGCCGGCCUAAGGAGCCAAACUGCAGUUCUGAGAAGUAAAGAACUCUAUGUUCCUUUGCGAGAACACCGGCUGGCCUUAGUGUAGCCCAGGAGUGCUGGUGUGGGGGCUCUGCUAAUACAGAAGGUAACUGCAGGCUGGGAUAAAGGUAAUUGAAUGUUUCCAUUCUGAGAGUUAGAUGAAGGCUAUGGAGCCCCCUCUCAGACACACACACACACACACACACACACACACACACACACACACACACACAAUCCCUAAGUGCCCUUUCCUCUCCCCUUGAGUAGAAAGGUGGAAUGCCCCCAUAAGGCACUGGGGAAAUGGGGCUGCUUCCCAAACAGCAAAGACAGCCUUUCCAAUUUCAUAAAGAAAGAAGCCAAGGUAACUAACACCUCUGCAGUUGGCUUGUGGUGGGAGUUCACAUCACCUGUGGAUGCUGAGUCUCUCUGUCACUGUCAACCCCGAGCUGACAAGAUAAACACAAGCAAGUCGUGUGCUCUUAAAGGCAGAGGGUGGAAGGUGUGAAGCCAACUGUGGGACGGGAGAUGUAAAGGGCUUGACGAGCAGGGCCAGAUUUGGCCUUAAGCCCAUGAAGGCCUGCCUUGUUGCUCCUCUGGGAAUGGACCCAUUUCAUAACAGUAUUAUUCACAGCCUAUGUUGACUCGAGCAAUGCAAGUGAAAGAACAUGAGUAUUCACACCCUCUGUACCCCACCAGUGCCCCACCAACCACAUGACAAUUUCUUUUCUCGGACUUGGGACGUCAGCCGAGAGUGUCCCGAGAGAUCUUUCUGACCCUUACCUCACUUGUGUAGUUGAAGAACCAGGGGUGCAGAGCCUCAGCAGUUGGGCCAGAGACAUGCCUCUAGUCACACUAAAUUAACGGAAAAAUUAAAACUCAAAAGCAAACUUCCUUUGAUGAAUAAUCAACUAUAGCUCCUUUCCUUACCAGUGAUUCGCAGCUGGAGACAGCACUGUCUCCCAACUACCACCAAGAGACAUUUGGGUUGUCAGCAGGACUCACAGUAUGGGAUUAAUGCUGG
rnacentral:lncRNA from 1 species